ACAGAGGGCUCGAGCGUUGCGCGGAGUCACUGGGCUUAAAGCGUACGUAGGCGGGCGUGCAGGCAUCGUGUGAAAUCCCCCGACUCAACCGGGGAAUUGCAGGGGAAACCGCCGCUCUUGAGGCAGGUAGAGGUGACCGGAACGUGUGGUGGAGCGGUGAAAUGCGUAGAUAUCAGGAGGAACACCGGUGGCGAAGGCGACGCUCUGGUCCGCAACUGACGCUCAUGCACGAAAGCCAGGGGAGCGAACGG
rnacentral:rRNA from 1 species